rnacentral:misc_RNA from 1 species
GAACUGCGAUAACUGAUGUGAAACGCAAGCUUCGUGAAUCAUCGAGUCUUUGAACGCAAAUGGCGCUCGGGCCUUCGGGAACGAGCAUGUCUGUUUGAGGGUCAGUUAAACCAGAUCCUUACCGGGGGGCCGUCAAAAAGCCUGCUGGUGAGGGACGAUGGGCGUCCUGUCUUUCCGAAGACCGCCUGAAACGUAUGUGGUUCUGAUUUAUUUCAGUACGAAAAGAAAAGCUCCCGGCUUGAGGUGGUUUUUGCUACGGGGCCUCGACCCACACCGAGGCCAUACCAAACCGUAGUGAACUUGCAAACCAUCGACGGGAGCAGCUUCUGUCGUACUACUCUACCAAUGACCUCAAAUCAGGCAAGAGUACCCGCUGAACUUAA